rnacentral:rRNA from 1 species
AACGAACGCUUGCGGCGCGCCUAAUACAUGCAAGUCGAACGAGAAAGGUCCUUCGGGAACGAGUAAAGUGGCGGACGGGUGAGGAACGCGUGGAUAACCUGCCCUUUAGCGGGGGAUAACUACUCGAAAGAGUAGCUAAUACCGCAUAAGACUACGAUAUCUGAGGAUGAUGUAGUUAAAGGCUUCGGCCACUAAAGGAUGGGUCCGCGUCCGAUUAGCUUGUUGGUGGGGUAAAGGCCUACCAAGGCGACGAUCGGUAGCUGGUCUCAGAGGAUGAUCAGCCACACUGGAACUGAGACACGGUCCAGACUCCUACGGGAGGCAGCAGUAGGGAAUAUUGCACAAUGGAGGAAACUCUGAUGCAGCGACGCCGCGUGAGCGGUGAAGGCCUUCGGGUUGUAAAGCUCUGUGAUAGGGGAAGAUAAUGACGGUACCCUAUCAGAAAGGACCGGCUAACUUCGUGCCAGCAGCCGCGGUAAUACGAGGGGUCCAAGCGUUGUUCGGAAUUACUGGGCGUAAAGCGGGUGUAGGCGGCCACGCCAGUCGGUUGUGAAAGCCCUGGGCUCAACCCAGGAAGUGCAUCCGAUACUGCGUGGC